rnacentral:lncRNA from 1 species
GGAAAAAAUAACUGAUAAUUUUUUUGAAGGAAAGCUAGUAGAUCGCCAACUUAUCAUGCUGAGUGGGCAAAUCAAAUGUGUUUUGAUGAUCUCAGUAAAGAAUCAUUAGCCUUGGAUGAGAAAGAAAAUCGAAUACUAACGAAUAAAAUUAUGCACCUUGUCUUAGAAAUACCGUUAGUUUAAUGUUGGUUGGAGCAAGUAUUGGCAAUUAAAUUGCGUGUGAAAAAAGUUAGAAAAAAACAAGUAAAUAUGUAAAAGACCUGG